rfam:Otolemur garnettii contig054266, whole genome shotgun sequence.
UCAUCAGGUGGGAUAAUCCUUACCUGUUUUUCCUUAUGGAGAACAAAUUAGAAAAUGAUGAUUGGAGCUGCAUGAUACAUGAUUAUAUGUCAAGAAAAGAAAGAAAAAGAA